rnacentral:rRNA from 1 species
GUCCACGCAGUAAACGAUGAGUGCUAGAUGUUGGAAUUUAUUUCGAUGUCGUAGCUAACGCGUUAAGCACUCCGCCUGAGUAGUACGGCCGCAAGGCUAAAACUCAAAGGAAUUGACGGGGACCCGCACAAGCUGUGGAACAUGUGGUUUAAUUCGAUUCUACGCGAAAACCUUACCAGGCUUUGUAUAGUGGUUGUAUACCUAUGAUGAGUAGGUAGUCAUUUAGUUGGACCAUUACAGGUGCUGCAUGGCUGUCGU